rnacentral:rRNA from 1 species
GAUCAUGGCUCAGGACGAACGCUGGCGGCGUGCUUAACACAUGCAAGUCGAGCGGAAAGGCUCCUUCGGGGGUACUCGAGCGGCGAACGGGUGAGUAACACGUGAGUAAUCUGCCCUUGGCUUUGGGAUAACUACCGGAAACGGUGGCUAAUACCGGAUACGACCACUCCUUGCAGGAGGUGGUGGUGGAAAGUUUUUCGGCCAGGGAUGUGCUCGCGGCCUAUCAGCUUGUUGGUGGGGUAAUGGCCUACCAAGGCUUCGACGGGUAGCCGGCCUGAGAGGGUGACCGGCCACACUGGGACUGAGACACGGCCCAGACUCCUACGGGAGGCAGCAGUGGGGAAUAUUGGACAAUGGGCGGAAGCCUGAUCCAGCAACGCCGCGUGAGGGAUGACGGCCUUCGGGUUGUAAACCUCUUUCAGUACCGACGAAGCGCCGAUGAUGGUGGUGACGGUAGGUACAGAAGAAGCACCGGCCAACUACGUG